rnacentral:rRNA from 1 species
UUGAAAGGGAAACGAUUGAAGUCAGUCGUGCAGUCAUCAACUCAGCGGGUAGCGUAGGUAAUUUAUUACUUUCGUUUUCCGUGUACUUUGUCGUCUGCUGGUUAGCAUCAAUUUUGAUUGUCAUAAAAAGGUUAAGGGGAUGUGGCUCCUUCGGGAGUGUUAUAACCCUUAGCGGAAUGUGACGAUUGGGAUUGAGGAUUGCAACGAAUACCUUUAGGGCUGUUCCACCUGGCCUCUCUUUGGUAUCCUGGUGACGACAGCUUGCUAACGUCGUUAGGAUUCGCCUUUGAACAGGCUAAAGUGUGAGCAAAUUCGUUAAGGAUGUUGACGUA